UUUAGAUCAGAGACUCGGUCAGAGAACUGAUGAUCGUGAUAUAGUUUCCUUAGUGCGAUUAUAUUACCGUUGAGAGGCUGAUUAGAGUCGGUGCUAAACUGCGGUCUAUAAAAUACAUAUUGUUCUUCAAAAACCCUAAUUCCGAAAAAAUCCUCUGCCAAAAAUAAACCCGCUCCUGAAAAUGUCCCUCUCUCCCUUCUCUCAGAAAACCCUAAUUCCCCGUUUCUUUCUCUCCGAUCCCUCGGAGAAAACCCUAAUCUCCUCUCUCUGUAGUUCUCCGAUCUCAUUGCUGCUAAUUUUGGGUCAAAUCAUCACGUCCUCAUGAUUUUUGGUCUGAUGCUCGACGGCCAGAAGUAGAAGGAGAUUAAGCGUCCUGAUCGGUCAAAAUGUGAGUCUCUGGUUUGCGACUUGAUGAUUUUUGGGCUGAUGGUCAAUGGUCAGAUGUAGGAGGAGGACUCCAAGCGGUGUUGUAAUUCUUUACAAUUUUUGGUCUGAUGCUCGACGGCCAGAAGUAGAAGGAGAUUAAGCGUCCUGAUCGGUAAGAUGCUUGCUUUAUUUGAUCGUUUUGACAUUUUGGGGUUUGUUCUUUGUAGUAAUUGUUCCUAAUUUUAGGUCAAAAUGUGAGUCUCUGGUUUGCGACUUGAUGGUUUUUGGGCUGAUGGUCAAUGGUCAGAUGUAGGAGGAGGACUCCAAGCGGUAUUGUAAUUUUUUCAACCUUUUCGAGUUCUCAAGCUUUACAAUUUUUGGUCUGAUGCUCGACGGCCAGAAGUAGAAGGAGAUUAAGCGUCCUGAUCGGUCAAAAUGUGAGUCUCUGGUUUGCGACUUGAUGAUUUUUGGGCUGAUGGUCAAUGGUCAGAUGUAGGAGGAGGACUCCAAGCGGUGUUGUAAUUUUUACAACCUUUUCGAGUUCUCAAGGUUUACAAUUUUUGGUCUGAUGCUCGACGGCCAGAAGUAGAAGGAGAUUAAGCGUCCUGAUCGGUCAAAAUGUGAGUCUCUGGUUUGUGACUUGAUGAUUUUUGGGCUGAUGGUCAAAGGUCAGAUGUAGGAGGAGGACUCCAAGCGGUGUUGUAAUUGUGAGUUUAUUCUUGCUUUCUUUAUUGGAUAUUUUCCUGUGUAUAUAUCUUUCUUUAUUUUAAUUAAAGGAUUUGCAUGGGUCUUGUUCUGUGUAGCUAUUACUACUUAUUCUCAGUCGAUCUAGGUCUUUGAUGUUAAUAUUUGGUUUUUAGUUGCUCUUUUCAUGUAAUUGUAGUCGGUCCAAAUUUCCUUGUGAUGCUAGUUAAUUAAGGUAUUAUGGUUAUAUGCUAGGAUGUUUAAGGUGCUAAUUUCUUGUAUUCACGUUGUCUGUAUAUGAUUGUUUCAUGAACAUAUGUCUUUGUAGUUGGCCUUAAUGACAUUUCACCAUAAAGUUAAAAAUAAAUUUAAGAUGUCAAAUAGUUUAUGUAAUGACAUUUCACUAUAUAGUUAAAAUUAUCUUAAGAUCUCCAAUGGCUUACUUAAUGUCAUUUCACUAUAAAUUUGAAAAAGUUUACAACCUUUUCGAGUUCUCAAGCUUUACAAUUUUUGGUCUGAUGCUCGACGGCCAGAAGUAGAAGGAGAUUAAGCGUCCUGAUCGGUCAAAAUGUGAGUCUCUGGUUUGCGACUUGAUGAUUUUUGGGCUGAUGGUCAAUGGUCAGAUGUAGGAGGACUCCAAGCGGUGUUGUAAUUGUGAGUUUAUUCUUGCUUUCUUUAUUGGAUAUUUUCCUGUGUAUAUAUCUUUCUUUAUUUUAAUUAAAGGAUUUGCAUGCGUCUUGUUCUGUGUA